ACGUGUGAAAGUGAUCUGGCUGUGACAUCUGUCACCUCAUUGAUCGCCAGGGUUGAUUUGGCUGAUCUGGCUAGGCGAGUGUCCCCUUCCUCCCUCACUGCUGCAUGUGUGUCCCUCCCGAAGCUGUGCGCUCAGUCAAAGUGGACAACCAUCUCUGAUAGAGGAGGACCAGUCUUCGGCCAAGGGUAUAGAGUAGCUGUGCUCCCCUGCUAGAACCUCCAGACAAGCUCUCAAGAUUCAACAUAUUCAUGCAUGCAGUGGAGUUUUUUUUGAAGGCUUUCUC
rnacentral:snRNA from 1 species